rnacentral:pre_miRNA from 1 species
UCUUCAUUUCACACGCUCUCUCGCCUGUCUGACCGACGAGAGAGCCUGGGAAAGGGAGAGA